CCUACGGGAGGCAGCAGUGAGGAAUAUUGGGCAAUGGACGAGAGUCUGAACCAGCCAAGUAGCGUGAAGGAUGACUGCCCUAUGGGUUGUAAACUUCUUUUAUAUGGGAAUAAAAUGUUCCACGUGUGGGAUUUUGUAUGUACCAUAUGAAUAAGGAUCGGAUAACUCCGUUCCAGCAGCCGCGGUAAUACGGAGGAUCCGAGCGUUGUCCGGAUUUAAUGGGUUUAAAGGGAGCGUAGGGGGAUUGUUAAGUCAGUUGUGAAAGGUUGCGGCUCAACCGUAAAAUUGCAGUGGAAACUGGCAGUCUUGAGUACAGUAGAGGUGGGCGGAAUUCGUGGUGUAGCAGUGAAAUGCUUAGAUAUCACGAAGAACUCCGAUUGCGAAGGCAGCUCACUGGACUGCAACUGACGCUGAGGCUCGAAAGUGUGGGUAUCAAACAGGAUUAGAUACCCGGGUAGUC
rnacentral:rRNA from 1 species